rnacentral:sRNA from 1 species
CUCUGGGGGCGGCGAUCCUCCCUCCGGAGCCCCUCUUCAACCCUCCCGGAAGUGAGCAUUUGCAGGACCAGGGAUGCUGUGCUGCUCUCCCAUGAGCCAGUCACCGAGUCUGUCUGCUGCAGCCCUUUCUGAACCUCUGGCCGUCUGGAUGCUCCACUGUGCUCCUUGCCAAGAUGAAGUGUGUCUUGGUGGCCACUGAGGGCGCAGAGGUCCUCUUCUACUGGACAGAUGAGGAGUUUGAAGAGAGUCUCCGGCUGAAGUUCGGGCAGUCAGAGAAUGAGGAAGAAGAGCUCCCUGCCCUGGAGGACCAGCUCAGCACCCUCCUAGCCCCGGUCAUCAUCUCCUCCAUGACGAUGCUGGAGAAGCUCUCGGACACCUACACCUGCUUCUCCACAGAAAAUGGCAACUUCCUGUAUGUCCUUCACCUGGCUGCGGCCCCCAGACCUGGCGCAGCGUGUCCAGCUGUGGGAGCACUUCCAGAGCCUGCUGUGGACCUACAGCCGCCUGCGGGAGCAGGAGCAGUGCUUCGCCGUGGAGGCCCUGGAGCGACUGAUUCACCCCCAGCUCUGUGAGCUGUGCAUAGAGGCGCUGGAGCGGCACGUCAUCCAGGCUGUCAACACCAGCCCCGAGCGGGGAGGCGAGGAGGCCCUGCAUGCCUUCCUGCUCGUGCACUCCAAGCUGCUGGCAUUCUACUCUAGCCACAGUGCCAGCUCCCUGCGCCCGGCCGACCUGCUUGCCCUCAUCCUCCUGGUUCAGGACCUCUACCCCAGCGAGAGCACAGCAGAGGACGACAUUCAG